rnacentral:sRNA from 1 species
GGUUAUGUUGGAUCAUUCUACCAGCAAACGACGAUUCGGAAAUCCACGUCACUGUCGCUCAAGAUAAGAUAAAUUCGAAGCAAUUCAGCAUAAAGUUAACCGUUUAUUGAAGAUUUGUUGAAAUUUCAAGUUCUAAUAAAAUUUCUGAAUUUCUAAAAUUUUUGUGCUAGGGUUUCACGACUUUCGAAACAGUUGGUGUAGCCUAUGAUCUGUAAGCCGAAUCGAUGUUACCUCGUGUUAUUUUGGAAUAAUUUUUUUAAUACGUCAACACAAAAGUUAGAACACAAAUACAAUGCAAUAGACUGACAUCUGAAACUAAAUGACAUUUGACAACGUUAGGAGCUAUCUGAACGUUGAAUGAAUUAAACGGUAAGGGCCGGCUGGGGUUCUACAUUCAUUUAUUGGUACAAAUAGGAAAGAUAAAUAAUACAAUAUUGGAGAUGGUAUAUAUAGGUAGGAAAAAUAGGCGGAGCCAAGAUGCUGUGGUGUUAGGGAUAAGAGAGUUUGAUGGGGACAGAAAAAGGUGGGAGGAAAGUCGGCGUACAUCAAAGGAUGAUUGUUUUUGACUUAGACGUUAUUAACAAUUAAAACAAUAAAUAAAAAUAUAAUUCAAUUAUUAAUCCAUUAUUAAAUUCCUUGGCUUUUGCUUGAUUGAGGUAUGAAUCAUGCAAUGAUUUCAUACAUUGAACGUUAAACACAAAAUUGGGAAAAAUUCUACAAUAUAUUUGACUACAUAGGAACUGCCGAACAUUUUACGCAACUUUAUAGGACAUGGGGAAUCAAUUAGUAGUGUUUAUAGACAAGAGUGUUUAUAUGAAAAAGGCAAGUGAGCUAACAGACGAGUUGCACAGUUAUUCCGAAAACUUUCCAUUGGAGCACUUAGAAGCUGGUGGUCUUUUUUUACCGGAUAUUGCGUUUGAACUAAAACUGGAAUAUUCGUACAUUCAAAAGGAUAUGUUGCAUGCAAUUGUGGUUUAAACAAUAGGAAUACUCAUCAAGGAAAACGGAACUUUUAAAAUUAAUAUUUUGUCUUCACGAGUUGGUUCAAGAUGAUUGUUUUGACAAGCCACAUGUUGGUGAAAUCCUCGAUGAUUUUUUGCCGUUCCAAUGAUUUUUGGUCUGUAUCAAACCGAUCGAGAUUUACAAAACCGCAUAGAAACUUCUGAAACCAUUUAGUCUUUUUUUGUAGACUUUUCGAGAAAAAAUUCAAAAAAUUCAAACAAUGAGGAUCAUAAGAGUUCUUGAAUAAAGUGUAACUUAUGUGGUUUUUUGAAACUUUGUGAAAUCAUGGAAAAGAAAUUUCGAAGAAUUCAAGUCUUCAAGAUUAUUCCCAAGUUAUCCGUAGAUUCCUGGAAAAUUUCGAAGUGUUCUUAAAAGCUUCCCAAUUAGCGAACAAAGUCAAGACCCUCCAUGGAGUGUUCAAACGGCUGCUUGUAUGAAAUAAAAGACAAAAAACACAAUUCACACAAUUCAUUUCAAGACAUGGGACACUUUACAAGAAGAAGAAAGAAAGAAUGGGCAUCAAGAGAGCAAUGGUGGAGAACGAAGUAUUUGCUUCCGAUUUAGCUUCGAUUUCGGCAGCUUCAGCUUUACCCGCUUUGAAAUCAUCGGAUGAUUUAUAGUCAGAAGCCUUGAUUUCUUCACUGAAAAACACUAUUAUUAUUUUUUGCCUUAAGUAUGUCUUCCUCACUUUGGGCCAAGGAGGCAAAUAACUAUAUACUCAGCGGCACACUUCUUAAUAGAGCACCCAAGUUGAGUUUGAACCGGGUUGAUCCAGUGAAAACAAUUAAACUAGAAUUAGAACAUCUAUGUAUGUUUCUUGUUGUUAAACUAACCAUAUAAGCUCUCUCUUUUUCGUCCAUUUUGUCAAAGUCCAUACCAAACAAAGCAAGAAUUUUUGCAACUCAGAAGCAUGUUUUUUUGAGUUGGUUAAGUAAAAGUUUCCGCGGUCCUCGCAUGACAUCUUAUCUGAUUUCGCUCUGAGCGAUUCAUCGAUAGUCUUAAUUUCAAUAACAGUUAUUUUUUUCAAUUAAUAACAAACCAAGUUUUGCACAUUAGUGAGCUUGAAUACACUUUUAAUGUUGUCUCGAAAAUCUUUGACGUGUUGUUCCACCAUUGUGGGAGUGGUCUUCUCAUUCAACUCGAUUUUCACCCCGAACCCCUUACUCAUCUCCUCCAUUGAUUUCUUCGAUUGUUCCUGCAUUUCUUUCAUCUUCGCGUCCAUGUCACCGCCAGCCUUCAAUUCUUCAGCGGAAGAUGCAACUGUAAUAGAAAAUGAGAGAAGCCAACUUCUUUGACCGCAAACCACAAAGCAUGACAAGAAGAAAUGUGCUUGGAAGCAUUUUGAUGGCAGUAGACAUCGGCAUCUGCGUGUUCUCUUGAUUGAGAAGACUGAUUUGUUUCUGUGUUUAGCCUGCUUAUAUAGCAAAAAUUUUCUGAUCUUAUCUUUUUGACCUUCUAGAAGGUCAAAAAUAAAAAAUAAUAAUUCAGCUCGUUUUGUUUAUUUUUUUUAGAACACGUGAAACUGUGAAGUAUUUUCUUGCUGUUUUUUAUAAUUCUAUGUUGAAAUAAAUAAUUCGGUUUGCUAAUGAGCUUCAAGGCUUGAAAACUACAGGCCUUGACCUGGCUGUGGUUCUUAAUGUGGUUCUGAGGGAUCAUAAUUAAAAAGCUUCACGCAUUUUUAACUAUAAUAACAAAACAUAUCACUAUGAGGAAAAUUUAUGUAUUUUUUCUUAAUUUUCGCAUUUUUUGUAUUCUUGUUUGAAUUUUGGCUUGAAUUUUUGGAAUUCAUUUUUGGAUAAAUUGAAAUAUUUUUGUACAUAGAGAAGGAUCGACGAAUUUGGCGAGAUAAACGAAUUUCGCAAUGAAACUUUUCAAAAAUAUUUAUGGCGGAAAAAUAACCCCAAUUUUAGCUAAAAUUCUGAACUUUGCCAGCUUUUCUGGGUCGCAGCGAUCCUUUAUUGCUUAGUUUGGUAGUAUAUCUCUUUUUUUUCGUUGAUUGAAGUACAUAUAAAGACGAUAUAAAACCAAAAUCAUUGAAAUUGGUUACCUAUAUUUAUUAAAUGUAAUCUUAUCAACGAAAUAAUGCGAGAAAAAUUACCACACUAUGAAAUAAAAUAUGAUCAUUUAAAAAACGUCAAUCUCGGUCCGCUGCGACACAGAAAAGUGGGCAAAAUUCAGAGUUUUGGCUAAAAUUAGCGUAUGUUUGUUCAUAAAUGUGGAACGUUCGUAAUCGUACUAGCCUUCAGACCUCCUUUAACUCACUGCCGGAAACAUCGUCUAGGUCAAACUUUGGAAACAAGUUUGAAAGCCUGAUUUUCAAACUAAAUUUUGACUGAAAACUUGAAAUACUUUGAAACUUCAAUAUCUUUCGACUGUGAGUAUUUCGAGAGUCAAAAGAAUUUGGCUACAUUGCCUGCUACCGUAAAACUGUAAUUUCUUCCACUUUUGCUUGAACGCAAGGUUUUUUAACACAGCUAAGGCAUGGGUAAAUCGGUGGGAGUAGAGAAUUUACUUGCCCUGUAAGAUCUGGUCAUUUAUUUCUGCAGAAAGAAUUGUUUCCCAAUUCCCAUUUUAAUCAAAUUUUAAAAAUUUUAAAUUUAUUUUAAUAAAAUAAUAAAAUCUUGAUAUUCCACGUGAAGGUCAAGCAAAAAAUUAAAUAAAAGUCGAUGAGACCAGAAUAGUUUUGAAUAAAUUCAGUUCUUGUUUUAAUCAAGACAUCUUCGGCCGUCGUCUCCAUUGCAUCAACAAACACAGCUUCUGAUGCCACCUUCUACCGCAAGCUUCAGCACCAGAUGCACUUGUUUAUUAAGCCACAUGCCCAGAAAGUAGCAGCUUCAGCUGCAGAUGCUCCACACACCUGCUCGUGAAGUUGUACAACCAACGCACCAAUCUGCGAACUUGUUUUGGUUUGUAAUAAAAUUGUUUUUUUAUAAAAAAAAAAAAUUAAAAAAAAGACAUGGCUGUCUAUGUCUCCUGAAAACUCACAGUCUCUUGCCGUGACCUCUUCAAAAUAUGUUCUAUAUGAGAGGCCCCUUUGUUAUAGUGACGUCAUUUCUGUACUUCUCUAGGUUCUCUUCCUCUUUUGCUCGCCCCAGACAGUGUGCUCCAUAUCAUAUUUGAGAUUGAAAUCUGUGCUGAAAUAUUUUGAGACAAACCUUAGAUGCCAUAGAUCUUUAAAUAGGAGCCAAAUUAUAAACCGAUGCACUUCCUUCAGGUUCGAACUAUCCGUGCGAUGCCCUUUAUUUCCUAGUUUGUCAUAAAAUCUGCUUACUACAAAUCCAAAAGCUUUAUUGGGUCAAAUUAUAAUAAGUCUGCAAAUCAUAUUUGAGUUGAAAUUGUUAUAAAACAAUUUUAUGUGAAUUCAGUUUUUCCUAAAAUUUUACUUUUUGUCUUAUACAUAAACUUGAAAAGAAAAACUGAAAAAACACAGAAGAAAUAGAGUUAUUAAAAAUCUUCUCUGGGCUGUACUUUGAAGUUCAAUCUCCAUUCCUCUUGAAAUUCCUCGUAGUCGAUGGCGAGCUCAGAGAAAUUGUCGAUGUUCAUGGCAACACUUGGUGGCUCCAUUAACCUGUAAAAAAAUAAAAUUCACCGUUCUUUAACAAACCAGUACAUUUUCUACACUAAAAUACGUGAAACCCAGCUAGAAAUUGCAAAAAAAAAGCUCACCGCCUCGAUAUUGCCGGUCCGAAAUACUUCAAUAGCCGGGCAGAACUCGCUUUUACAUCGUCUUUAGACCAAUACGGUCCAACCGAAAAAUGGGUUCCAACUUCUUUUCCAUGCUCCAGCAAUGAUGAAUGAACUUGAAGGUCUCUCCGAUAUCAAAGUAUCGUGCAUGUACCCUUUUAUUAAAGACCAGACGCAUGCUUUUAAUAUCCGGAACAACCAAGAGCAGGACAUUUUGGAUUAUUGGGUGUUUGAUAUGUAGAUUUCUCAAUAUUCUCAAAGCUUUCAAUGGGAAGGUUGAAGGGUGGAAGAUCGAGGGGAGAGAUUCCAGUGUUUCGCGUAAAUUUCCAGUGUAAAUCUCCAAAGUAUCGGUGACAAGAUUCCUUGCGUUUUGGAAAGCAUCAAUAUCCAUUCUAAUGCAAGUAUGCUUUGCGAUAAUUUUCCUAUCUCCCAGAAUCUUUUUCAGCACAUAUGAUGGCAUCACUUUCCCGAAAGUCGUAUUUAAAGCCACUCGUUCAGUACUAGUACGACCAUCAAUUUCUAGCCCUAGGAGAACAUAUUCUUGACUUGAUUUUCUCGCCUUCCUAGUAGUUUUAGUUGUCUUGUAGUAAGUCUCAUUGAUUUUAAGAUUUUCUUGGUUCCAACAUAGCUCUCGAAUAUGUAAUGGAGAGGUUUUCUCACAAAGUUGGAGAGAUGGGCAUCGCAUGGAUAAUUGAAUUCUUAAGAAAGUUUAGCGGUUUAUAAAAUGCACAAAACUUUUGUCUCACCUUAAAUUUGGCUCCAAAUAUUUCAGUACAGAUUUCAAAUUCAAAUAGGAGAGUUGCAUGGUGAGUCGAUAUGAUUUGUGGAGGACACUGUCUGUGGGUGGAGCAGAAAAGAGCAAACUGUCAGCAGCGAGCAAAGUUCUGCCAAAUCAAUUGUAUGUUACGACUAAAAUAUUGAAUUGGGUACAUUGAUAAGAAGUCAAAAAGGCAGUGCGUUCAAAAACUCAUGCAAAUACCUGGCGCGAUGCGUGCAUUGCACACAAA